GAGAGCAGCUCUGGUGAUUUUAUAGACAUGGCUGCGUUUCCCUGUUCAGCAGAUUAAGCCCCACGUGGGUGUACCUUUAAAUAAUCGGUGUCCGUGGGCCAGCUCCAGAAAUCUGUCACCUCGGAUUUUGCUCGAGUUUUUAGCUUGCACAUCUGUCUUAAAACAAUAGUCGGAAGCCCAUGCAAACGUCGACUCCCCCUGUUCCCGCUGGCCUUUAAGAUAUUCCUUCCUGACGCACUUUCAAAGUAAGGGAUGGUGGACGCAAUCCACAGUCGUCCUGUUGAGAAAACGGUGUGGGUUUGGUGGGAUCUAAUAUGAGGCGUCUGCAGUCGGAGCUACACCAAUCAAAUGGAAGUAAUAUUAAUGAACACAUCAUAGCCAGGAUGCCUGUUAGGCUUCAAGCUAAUCCCGUUUCUCAGUGUGCCCACUGUUCCUCGCAGAGUGGGGUCCCGUCAGUUUAUUUACCAACUGCCAUCGGCUAAAAGGAAAGGACAGACGCUUCAAGGGUCCCCAGUCAGCUAAAAGAGAGAUGUGGCCCCAGAGUCUGAGGCGGCUGGUUGGUCAGCUGGAAGAUAUGAAGACGGGAAUGAAGAUGGAUUCCGCUACUGACUCAUGUCAGCGUCAGUGUUGCACUGCAGCUUCUGUCAUUACCUGAGAGCUUCUACCUUCUGAUAAGACGACAAAAUACAGAAAUUGCCAAACAUGCAUCACACCAAAUAAGAAAAUAUUUAAUGUAUAUGGGCUACGUGUUAACAAAUGUGUGUGUAUAUAAUUUUUGUUUGACAAAAAGUCAUUGUUACACCUCUUAGGAACAAACUGUUAUAAAUCUCCAACAACAGUUUUGUCUGCCAGUCGUGUUUUCAGCCUUUGUAUUGCAAUGUGAUGCAAGACGGCAGCUGUGCUUUCAAAAACAGUAACAGGCUUGUUUGUAUCAAGCUUGUUUGUAUCAGGCUCGCUUGUAUCAGGCGGGCUUUGAUUGUGUUUGUAGUUAGCAGCGAUUCAUCUGUGUGAGAUUAUGAAGGAUUUUCCGGUUUUGCCGCUGGUUUUGUUUAAUUUGUGCUCAGAGACGUGCUGUGAAGGAACUUUUAA